UCCGAUGUAGUGUAGAGGUUUAGCAUUAUCCGCUUUCAUCAAAUUUCAUGAAACCCAUGUAUAUGGUGAAGGACCGGAUCGACCCGGGUUCGAACCCCGGCAUCGGAA